AUUGAACGCUGGCGGCAGGCCUAACACAUGCAAGUCGAGCGGAUGAAGGGAGCUUGCUCCUGGAUUCAGCGGCGGACGGGUGAGUAAUGCCUAGGAAUCUGCCUGGUAGUGCGGUAUAACGUCCGGAGACGGGCGCUAAUACCGCCUACGUCCUGCGGGCGAAAGUGGGGGAUCUUCGGACCUCACGCUAUCAGAUGAGCCUAGGUCGGAUUCGCUAGGUGGGGGGGUAAAGGCCUACCAAGGCGGCGAUCGGUAACUGGUCGGAGAGGAGGAUCAGUCACACUGGAAGGGGGACACGGACAAGGGGCCUGAGGGAGGGAGCAGUGGGGAACAGUGGGCAGUGGGCGAAAGCCUGGUCCAGCCAGGGCGAGUGUGAUGAGAAGGUCUUGGGAUUGUAAAGCCGGUUAAGUUGGGAUGAAGGGCAGUCAGUUAAUACCUUGCUGUUGUGACGGUACCAACAGAAGAAGCACCGGCUAACUUCGUG
rnacentral:rRNA from 1 species